rnacentral:misc_RNA from 1 species
AGUUCAUGCUGAUUGACUGAUAGUUUGGCAGCAAUUUAUUAUCAUAUUAACAGUUCUAAAUGGAAGAACAGCCAAAUUACAUGCCACUUCAAACCAGUGACUAGGUUACAAAGGGAAAAAUGCUCGCCAAACUAUCAGUCAAUCAGCAUGAACUUUUUCGUACAAAUUCAAAAUCCAUGUUUUCCAUUAUGAUUUGCAGAUACUUCCAAUCUCAACAUUGAUGAAUGCAACAAUUAUCGCCACUUUUGCUCUACCUACAACAAUUUUAUUGCAUCUGCACUGCAUGUUUAUUAAGAUCAGUAAUUGUGUCCUCAUAAAACCACCCCAAUACACCAUGCCCAGUUUCUUCGAUAAGGAAAUGCAUCAGUAGACACGAGCUUUAGGUGGGAAUGACUCAACCUCGUCAUCUAGUGUAUUCAUGUGUACUGGCCUGUAAUCGAGUCGGACCUUUUCCUUCUCCCAAUAUCCCAAAGUGUGCUUCAUCCAGUUCUCAUCAUCUCUUUUAGUGAAAUCUUCACGGGCAUGUGCUCCUCUGCUCUC